rnacentral:rRNA from 1 species
GAUGAACGCUGGCGGCGUGCCUAAUACAUGCAAGUCGAGCGAACGGACGAGAAGCUUGCUUCUCUGAUGUUAGCGGCGGACGGGUGAGUAACACGUGGAUAACCUACCUAUAAGACUGGGAUAACUUCGGGAAACCGGAGCUAAUACCGGAUAAUAUUUUGAACCGCAUGGUUCAAAAGUGAAAGACGGUCUUGCUGUCACUUAUAGAUGGAUCCGCGCUGCAUUAGCUAGUUGGUAAGGUAACGGCUUACCAAGGCAACGAUGCAUAGCCGACCUGAGAGAGUGAUCGGCAACACUGAAACUGAGACAGGGGCCAGACUCCUACGGGGAGCAGCAGUAGGGAAUCUUCCGCAAUGGGCGAAAGCCUGACGGAGCAACGCCGCGUGAGUGAUGAAGGUCUUCGGAUCGUAAAACUCUGUUAUUAGGGAAGAACAUAUGUGUAAGUAACUGUGCACAUCUUGACGGUACCUAAUCAGAAAGCCACGGCUAACUACGUG